rnacentral:rRNA from 1 species
GUGGGGAAUAUUGGACAAUGGGCGCAAGCCUGAUCCAGCCAUGCCGCGUGAGUGAUGAAGGCCCUAGGGUUGUAAAGCUCUUUCACCGGUGAAGAUAAUGACGGUAACCGGAGAAGAAGCCCCGGCUAACUUCGUGCCAGCAGCCGCGGUAAUACGAAGGGGGCUAGCGUUGUUCGGAAUUACUGGGCGUAAAGCGCACGUAGGCGGAUAUUUAAGUCAGGGGUGAAAUCCCGGGGCUCAACCCCGGAACUGCCUUUGAUACUGGGUGUCUGGAGUAUGGAAGAGGUAAGUGGAAUUCCGAGUGUAGAGGUGAAAUUCGUAGAUAUUCGGAGGAACACCAGUGGCGAAGGCGGCUUACUGGUCCAUUACUGACGCUGAGGUGCGAAAGCGUGGGGAGCAAACAGGAUUAGAAACCCGGGUAGUCC